rnacentral:lncRNA from 1 species
ACUGGGCGGCGGGUGCCAUGCGCCUGGAGCUUCAUAUUCUCAGCUCCCGCCCACCACGCCUGCCCGCGCGCCCUCGCGGUCACGCCCCAGACCGCCGGCACCUGUCAAGCAGGUUGAAGACUAGAACAUUGCCAGGAUCCCAGAAGUCCCUCUUAUGUCCUCUCCCAGUCACUUCACCCUCUCUACUGCCAAAGGUAUCUUAGUCCUCCUCAUCAUUCAUUAUGUGUAUGGCCAGCAGCGUUGGAGCACCCAGGAGAAAGUGAUAUUCUUCAAAG